rnacentral:rRNA from 1 species
UACAGAGGGUGCGAGCGUUGUCCGGAAUCACUGGGCGUAAAGGGCGCGUAGGUGGUGGCUUAAGCGUGCGGUGAAAGCUCGGAGCUCAACUCCGAGUCGGCCGUGCGAACUGGGCUCACUGGAGCAUAGUAGAGGCAGGUGGAAUUCCGGGUGUAGCGGUGGAAUGCGUAGAGAUCCGGAAGAACACCGGUGGCGAAGGCGGCUCUCUGGGACGGUACUGACGCUGAGACGCGAAAGCGUGGGGAGCGAACAGG